CAUGAAGAGGAGCAAAAGGCCUGCGGUGCUUUUAUUUCCCCUCCAAUCUUCAUUACGUGACAAAUCCAUGCAUCAGUCCUGACUGAUCUAACCCUUCAGGCCCAGCCAUUUGGCGUGUUUGUCCUCCUGGCUUGUGGGAUGCCUGAGGGUUCAGUAAAAGAGUCACAGUGUCCUCAGGUCCCAGACAGCUUUUCCCAAGGAGAAUAUGAAUGUGGAGGUUUUUGAUGCGCUAGGAACUCCAUUGCAUCUCCUUUUAGGUGCUAGUUGCUACAGUAUCCAUCUAUUGUGAACCAAGCUGAGAAUGUCAACUGGUACCUGCAAGCACAUGUGAAACGUCCUCGUAAGGGUGCCAUACACAGUGGAAGUUCCCUGAAGCUUUCAUGCCAGAGCAGGUUUUCCCUGGUGAAGCAUCACUGAGAGUGGUCCAUGGUGUGCUGCCCUCCUCUGGAGGGCUCCUCUGCUCUCAUUUCAGGGGGAGAGCGGCCACAGUUCUGCAUUUCUGGGCGAUGGAAGUGAGUGCAAGAGAGCACAGUGUCAAAGGCAAGUGAAGGAGACUUCACUGCCUGAGACUGGAGUGCCUGAGGGGAUUGGGCUGAGAGAAGGGAAGAGAUUACAGUAGUGAACACCCAUGCGCCUUUUGGUGUAAUUUUUAAUGUGAGACAAAGAACUUCGAUGGCAACGGCUCCACUGGUGAGGGCCAGGAGUUGUACUGAAUGGUAAGGAAUUGAGGGAUCAUUUUAUUCUUUCUGAAAACCCAGUUACUCUGUGUAUAGCAGGUGCAGCAGUAUCACACACCAUGCUUGCAGGUACUGUGAUAUAUUUUAGAAUAUUCACAGUGGAAGAGAAUCAAACUGAUCCCUCUUCACUCCUGGCAGUAUGGAAGUGCCUGCAGCAACCUGAUCUAGUACAGAGGACUGGAUAUGAAAACAGCAAGUUCAGACUCGAAAUACUCAUCUAAUCCAUAGUCAUAAUGAGCUCAUCCACUGCCCCGAGCGUUUUUAGCAACGCAGGUAUGCACAGCGUUCGGCCCGCUGAAUGGUACGGUUGGCUGCAUUCACGGUGGGUGCUUCGUUACACUGACAAAUGACCUCAGGGACUUAGUUAAGCAAGAGCAUAAAUGUAUACUUUCUAACACCGUGCACAAUAUUUUGUGUGCUUUUAAUAGUGUAGCCGAAGUGUAAAAUUGGAUAUAGGAUUUUAAAAAACUUCCCAGUGAAGAGAAAACAUAGUUUGAAGCCACGGAAGCUGUGUAUCCGAUGGCAGAGCAGCUAAUGCAGUUUGCUUCUCCAGCAUUGCCCUGAAGUAUCUUUAGAGAUUCAUAUAUAAAUGGCAAGUACAUAACCCACUGUAAAAAGCUACAGUGAUGCUAAAGAAACCUUUGGUGAGUUUCUGUGGCCUGCAGAGGACAAUUAUUUGUGGAAUAGAAGUACAGCUCCAAACUGGACCCUCACACAAAUGCCUCAGGAUCUAUCCAUCCUAAUUAGAGUAUCCUUGAAAUCCUAAUGUGGACUUUGACAUUAAGAGCCUAACCAGGGCUAAGUUUAGCAAAAAAAAAAAAAAAAAUCUAAAAGGAGAAGACACUUUUUACAUG